GACGAACGCUGGCGGUGUGCUUAACACAUGCAAGUGGAGCGACGAACCAGGGCUUGCCCUGGGGCAAAGCCGCGAACGGGUGAGUAACACGUGGGUAACCUGCCCCGAUGACCGGGAUAACCCGAGGAAACUCGAGCUAAUACCGGAUGUGCUCUCCCUCACGAGAGGGGCGAGUAAAGGAAGCUUCGGCCUCCGCAUCGGGAGGGCCCGUGGCCCAUUAGCUUGUUGGUGGGGUAACGGCCUACCAAGGCUGCGAUGGGUAGCUGGUCUGAGAGGACGAUCGGCCACACUGGGACUGAGACACGGCCCAGACUCCUACGGGAGGCAGCAGUGGGGAAUCUUGCGCAAUGCGCGACAGCGUGACGCAGCAACACCGCGUGGGGGAAGAAGGCCUUCGGGUUGUAAACCCCUUUCAGCGGGGAAGAUAAUGACGGUACCCGCAGAAGAAGCCCCGGCUAACUCCGUG
rnacentral:rRNA from 1 species